AUUGGGCAUCUAACCUCGAACCCUGAAUCGGGUUUAGGGACAGUGCCUGGCGGGUAGUUUAACUGGGGCGGUUGCCUCCUAAAAUGUAACGGAGGCGCCCAAAGGUCGGCCGCAUCCAGGGCGCCACCGCAAUGCCCGCGCAUCGGGCUGAUUCGGCUUGGUCAGAAACUGUGUUCGUCAGCGGGGAAUACCCCGCCGGCCACCUCUUGGGCGUAUUGCAUUGCAGCACGGCGUAGUUCACCACCGACAUCGGCAUACCGUUUGACGAAGCGGGCGGUCUUGGCGCCGCUGAAC
rnacentral:rRNA from 1 species